AAUUAUCCCAGAGAAUUAAUAUUAAAAACAGGCUGGGAGUUGUUUGAACUGUGAUCACCCCCCCCCCAAAAAAACCGAGAGGAUAAAACAUUCUUCUUGCUAAGAUUUCUUUGGAAAACCCCUG
rfam:Ailuropoda melanoleuca scaffold549_71, whole genome shotgun sequence.